CCUCACUUUGGGUAAACAAACUCUGUAUUGCAUUCCACUUCAGCACAGCAAGAGAGGCAACAGAAGUUGUGGUACACAGCAUGAAAAUACGAAUACCUUCACUGUUAAUGAAGGAGGAAGGUUUAAAGCUGCUUGUGCCUUGGUAACCCACUCCGAAAUGAAGAACACCAUACCUUAUCUGGAUGUCUAAUUCAUUACUGCUGGUAAAGGCCUGGAGGACUGUGAACAGGCAUAUUUUUGCAAUCAGAUGUGGCUGAAGCCAUUCCUACCCAUCUGCACACACUUGGUGCUGGGGCAUUUGUUGGAAGGAGCACUUUUCACAUCCCUUCCUUCUUCCUUCUGUCACUGUGCUCCAGAGGAGGGAGGACAGCUUUGCUCCACCAAGGGCUCAGAGCUCCAGAAAAACUCUGAUUUCCUGCAAUCUACAAACUGCAGCUGACAAGAACCUUGUUAAAUCCAGCUCCCUCUAGAUGUGAAGAUGGUGUCCUCUAGAGUACUGAGGAGGAAGAAAAGCAAUAAAAAUAAAAAGGUUUGAAAAAAGAA